rnacentral:rRNA from 1 species
GACGAACGCUGGCGGCGUGCUUAACACAUGCAAGUCGAACGGAAAGGCCCUUCGGGGUACUCGAGCUCCGAACGGGAAAGUAUCACGUAAAUAACCUUCCCUUGCCCUUGGGAUUACCCCGGCUACCCGAGGCUAAUACCGGUACUGGCCUGGUGCCCCUUGGUCUUGGUUGGGAUGGUUUUUUUUCCUCGGUUGGGGAUGGGCUCGCGGCUUAUCAGCUUGUUGGUGGGGCCUUGGCUUACCAAGGCGAUGACGGGUAGCCGGCCUGAGAGGGUGACCGGCCACAUUGGGACUGAGAUACGGCCCAGACUCCUACGGGAGGCAGCAGUGGGGAAUAUUGCACAAUGGGCGGAAGCCUGAUGCAGCAACGCCGUGUGAGGGAUGAAGGCCUUCGGGUUGUAAACCUCUUUCGGCAGGGACGAAGCGUGAGUGACGGUACCUGCAGAAGAAGCGCCGGCCAACUACGUG